rnacentral:rRNA from 1 species
AGAGCGAACGCUGGCGGCAGGCCUAAUACAUGCAAGUCGAACGGAUCCUUCGGGAUUAGUGGCGGACGGGUGAGUAACACGUGGGAAUGUACCCUUUGGUUCGGAACAACUCAGGGAAACUUGAGCUAAUACCGAAUGUGCCCUUCGGGGAAAAGAUUUAUCGCCAUUGGAGCGGCCCGCGUCUGAUUAGCUAGUUGGUAGGGUAAAGGCCUACCAAGGCUACGAUCAGUAGCUGGUCUGAGAGGAUGAUCAGCCACACUGGGACUGAGACACGGCCCAGACUCCUACGGGAGGCAGCAGUAGGGAAUCUUGCGCAAUGGGCGAAAGCCUGACGCAGCCAUGCCGCGUGAAUGAUGAAGGUCUUAGGAUUGUAAAAUUCUUUCAGCGGGACGAUAAUGACGGUACCGCAGAAGACGCCCGGCUAACUUCGCGCCAGCAGCCGC